rnacentral:rRNA from 1 species
CCUCGGGUCGCACCAGUGGGGAAUAUUGCACAAUGGGCGCAAGCCUGAUGCAGCCAUGCCGCGUGUAUGAGGAAGGCCUUCGGGUUGUAAAGUACUUUCAGCGGGGAGGAAGGCGGUGAGGUUAAUAACCUCACCGAUUGACGUUACCCGCAGAAGAAGCACCGGCUAACCCCGUGCCAGCAGCCGCGGUAAUACGGAGGGUGCAAGCGUUAAUCGGAAUUACUGGGCGUAAAGCGCACGCAGGCGGUCUGUCAAGUCGGAUGUGAAAUCCCCGGGGUCAACCUGGGAACUGCAUUCGAAACUGGCAGGCUAGAGUCUUGUAGAGGGGGGUAGAAUUCCAGGUGUAGCGGUGAAAUGCGUAGAGAUCUGGAGGAAUACCGGUGGCGAAGGCGGCCCCCUGGACAAAGACUGACGCUCAGGUGCGAAAGCGUGGGGAGCAAACAGGAUUAGAUACCCGCGUAGUC